GAAGGUAUAGCUCAGUGGUAGAGUGUGUGCUUAGCAUGCACAAGGUCCUCGGUUCAAUCCUCAGUAUCUCUA
rnacentral:tRNA from 1 species